UUGACUUUGUAAUUAUGGAUGAUUUCUCAAAGCUAACGUUGGUUUUAUUCUUGGCACUUAAAUUGAAAUAUUUUCUGCUUUGGCACAAACUUACAAAAGGUUUCAAAUGAAAAAGGUUUGCAAACUGUGAAAGUAUCAUGGCACAGUUUUGAAAACCAAUUUGUUAAUAAGGUUUGCACAGAAAACGGUAUUGAAUACAAUUAUUUUUGCAGCAAGAAUACUAUUACAUAUAGGGGUUAUAAAAAUAUAAAAAUAGAACCUUUGUUGUGUAAGGACAAUGCUUUGUGAUAGCAGUUGAUUAAUGUUAUCAUCACAGCUUGUCAUAUUAUAAGGUUUCUAUUAAAUCUAUUUUUGAAGAAAACCCCAUGUGAACUCAUGAAAAACAGA
rnacentral:lncRNA from 1 species